rnacentral:lncRNA from 1 species
UUAUCUCAUAACCAUCCGGUGGGGACACACACAACCAGUUCACCACAACAUGGCAGGUAUAUAGCUAGCUGCAUGGAGUUAUGAAAGGACAAUGUGUCUGAUUCAGGGAUGUAACAUUCAACUCACUACAUUUAACAAACUUAGUCAGGAGGCUAAAUCUAAGCAGACUAACCAAACAACCAAAAGUGUGGAUGCAUAUGUGGAAGAAGAUCUUGUCCACAGAGCCUGUGAUACUGGGGACUUAUAAAGUAUACUGACAAGGUGGUCUUUGAUCAAAGCCGAUGACUUGACGCCAAAACAUCUGCCCACAUGUGCUGAAGAUCUGUGCAGAGAAUGAAAACCUUGAUUACCUUGCGAACUUCACUUCUGCAACAGGAAGUUAAAAACUUGAAAUUUAUAUUGAAAUGGAUUUAUAUGUCUUCUUUCUGUCAAAUACACCUUCACAUCUGAAUGUGAGAGUCUGAUGUGAACAUUCAUCAAAGAAUAAAUUUACUUCCAAUGUGCUUUUGAAUCCUC